CCUAGAACUCACUAUGUAGACCAGGAUGGCCUCAAAGUCAUAGAGAUCUGCCUGCCUCUGCCACCCAAGUGCUGGGAU
rnacentral:miRNA from 14 species